rnacentral:rRNA from 1 species
UGCAGCAGCUUUAUGUCUCUGUAGCUUGAUCUCAUCAGAUCGCAAAGGCUGGUCCUGGUCAGUACAGGGAUGGGAGACCUCCAAGGAAGACCAGGUCGCUGUUGCAA